rnacentral:lncRNA from 1 species
CUCAUCCACUGAUACUUCAGGCCCAGGGUUGUAGAGGUAUGGCCUCAUCCACUGUUACUUCAGGCCCAGGGUUGUAGAGGUAUGGCCUCAUCCACUGUUACUUCAGGCCCAGGGUUGUAGAGGUAUGGCCUCAUCCACUGUUACUUCAGGCCCAGGGUUGUAGAGGUAUGGCCACAUCCACUGUUACUUCAGGCCCAGGGUUGUAGAGGUAUGGCCUCAUCCACUGUUACUUCAGGCCCAGGGUUGUAGAGGUAUGGCCACAUCCACUGUUACUUCAGGCCCAGGGCUGUAGAGGUAUGGCCUCAUCCACUGUUACUUCAGGCCCAGGGCUGUAGAGGUAUGGCCUCAUCCACUGUUACUUCAGGCCCAGGGCUGUAGAGGUAUGGCCUCAUCCACUGUUACUUCAGGCCCAGGGUUGUAGAGGUAUGGCCUCAUCCACUGUUACUUCAGGCCCAGGGUUGUAGAGGUAUGGCCUCAUCCACUGUUACUUCAGGCCCAGGGCUGUAGAGGUAUGGCCUCAUCCACUGUUACUUCAGGCCCAGGGUUGUAGAGGUAUGGCCUCAUCCACUGUUACUUCAGGCCCAGGGUUGUAGAGGUACGGCAGACGCUCCACCCACUUCUCCCAGACCUCUCUUAUGGCCGUCAGUUUGUCUCUCACAUGUUUUGCAGGUCUUGACUCACGGUUAUCAAAUCGUAGCAUUCUUGAGAAAGUGUGAAAGACUUUCAGUGGCAUCAUGGCAUGGAAAAUCACCCUUCCACUCUCUGCAUCCCAGAGACUACAUGUAGCCUCACCUCGAGACCUAUACACACCCGCUAAGAUUAGCAGCCCUAUGUAGACACGCAGGUCAAUCUCAUCCAUCCUUUUCCAGUUGUCUCCAUAUUUACAGAAACCCUCCAAAAAUGAUUUUUUCGAUGGCUGGUGUGAUGAGCAUGUAGAAUGUUGAGCCGAUCUCCUGGGCCUAGGCAACUGCACGUCUUGUGGGUCCUGGGGUCAUCCUUAUGACAUUUUGUGCUGCCAUCCUGCCCUGGUUGUCAUACAGUGACAAGGACCAUGUUAUUUUGCUGUUCAAGUUGAAAAAUAUCAUUUAGUGGGUUUUCUCUGCUGUUAACAUAGUGGCAGGUCAUUUUUUACCCUUAAGACAACGCAAGGGGUAAGAGCCAAAGAACUGAGGCUACAGAGACACCCCACAAAUGACUGGCCAGACCACCACACACCCCUGCAGUACACUCCUCUCCCCACCCGCCAUGUACUCACACACACACCUACAAUUUAGGCAAGAUCUAGGCCUGUAUUCACAAAUUUUCCGAGUAGGAUCACUGAUCUAGGAUUACUGACCAGGGCCCCCUUGUCCAUGUAAUUAGCAGCAAGCCUAUCAGAGGGUAAGGUGGAGCCCUCACCAUGUCACCACCCAUCAAUCACUCUCAGGCUAGGAGUUGUCUGGACACGAUUCUCCACUGAAAGAGCUUAAUCUGAGCCCGGGACACAGACCCAUUGAGAACAACAAGCAGUUAGAUUGUAUUGUUUGGUCCUGUGUGGAUCAGUUGAUAGUGGUACAGCAUGGCACUUGCAACGCCAUGGUUGUGGGUUUCGAUUCCCAAAGGUCCAACACAAAAAAAGUUUGAAAAUGUAUGCAUUCACUACUGUAAGUUGCUCUGGAUAAGAGCGUCUGAUAAAUGACUGAAAUGUAAUGUCAGACAAACGCCAAUUUAAAUGUAAUUUAACGUAUAAAAUGAAAACUGGCUUAUUACAUGAGAAAGGCUGUAAAACAUGACCAUGUUAUAAAAACACUGCAGCAAUUACUCAACUUGCAUGACAGAAUUACACUAGAAUGACGUAGCACACUUCACAGACAGGAAGACCAUUACUGAUUGAGAAGAAAUCUCAAAGCGCUUAAAAACACUAAAU